rnacentral:lncRNA from 1 species
UUUCCAUUAUUAUUUCAGAUUCUUUUCUGUGUGUAUAAAUAAACUGUUUUAUAAUAAUGUCUUGAGAAUAAUAUGAUCAUUCUUAAAAGAUCCUUAGUCAAGUAUUAUUGUUGACUAAGACAACAAUAAUGCAUUAAGACUAACAUGUAGUUGAUUGAUGAUAAAGAGUUGUCAUUGACAUGGAGUGUCAAAAUCAAUGCAUGAAUAUGCGUGUUAGAGAACAACAUAUUGG